CCUACGGGAGGCUGCAGUGAGGAAUAUUGGUCAAUGGACGCAAGGCUGAACCAGCCAUGCCGCGUGCAGGAAGACGGCUCUAUGAGUUGUAAACUGCUUUUGUACGAGGGUAAACUCAGAUACGCGUAUCUGUCUGAAAGUAUCGUACGAAUAAGGAUCGGCUAACUCCGUGCCAGCAGCCGCGGUAAUACGGAGGAUUCAAGCGUUAUCCGGAUUUAUUGGGUUUAAAGGGUGCGUAGGCGGUCGGGUAAGUUAGAGGUGAAAUCCCGAGGCUCAACUUCGGAAUUGCCUUUGAUACUGUUCGGCUAGAGAGUAGUUGAGGUAGGCGGAAUGUAUGGUGUAGCGGUGAAAUGCUUAGAGAUCAUGCAGAACACCGAUGGCGAAGGCAGCUUACUAAGCUACUUAUGACGUUGAGGCACGAAAGCGUGGGGAGCAAACAGGAUUAGAUACCCUAGUAGUC
rnacentral:rRNA from 1 species